rnacentral:rRNA from 1 species
AGUUCGGAUUGAAGGCUGAAAUUCGCCUUCAUGAAGCCGGAAUUGCUAGUAAUGGCAGGUCAGCAUACUGCCGUGAAUACGUUCCCGGGCCUUGUACACACCGCCCGUCACACCAUGAGAGUCGGGAACACCCGAAGUCCGUAGCCUAACUUUAACGAGGGGCGCGGCCGAAGGUGGGUUCGAUAAUUGGGGUGAAGUCGUAACAAGGUAAC